GGGGAAUUUUGGACAAUGGGCGAAAGCCUGAUCCAGCCAUUCCGCGUGCAGGAUGAAGGCCCUCGGGUUGUAAACUGCUUUUGUACGGAACGAAACGGCUCUGGUUAAUACCUGGGGCUAAUGACGGUACCGUAAGAAAAAGCACCGGCUAACUACGUGCCAGCAGCCGCGGUAAUACGCAGGGUGCGAGCGUUAAUCGGAAUUACUGGGCGUAAAGCGUGCGCAGGCGGUUAUGUAAGACAGGUGUGAAAUCCCCGGGCUUAACCUGGGAACUGCAUUUGUGACUGCAUAGCUAGAGUACGGUAGAGGGGGAUGGAAUUCCGCGUGUAGCAGUGAAAUGCGUAGAUAUGCGGAGGAACACCGAUGGCGAAGGCAAUCCCCUGGACCUGUACUGACGCUCAUGCACGAAAGCGUGGGGAGCAAAC
rnacentral:rRNA from 1 species